AUGGCACUGUUCAGGGCAUCCACCACCAUCGUGCUGGGUAACGGCCGGAAAUCUUUGUUCUGGCAUGACGACUGGACGGGAAAGGGCCCUCUGCGAUUGCUUGCCCCCGAGCUUUUCAUCAUCGCCACGAGAAAGCAAAGAUCGGUCAUGAAAGAGUUUUAGGAUAAUAACUGGAUCAGAUCAAUCGCCCGACUGAACACACCAACACAGCUGCAGGAGUUCUCAUUACGCUGGAACACCAUCUCUUGGCGUUGGACCCCAAACGGCACCUACUCCUCUGCCUCAGCUUACGCGGCCCAGUUUUGUGGAUCCUUCCCCAGGUUCACGCCGUCCAAGAUUUGGGAGGCCCAUGCAGAGCCAAAGUGCAAACUCUUCUCAUGGCUGGUCCUCCAUGGGAAGAUCCUCACGGCGGACAUGCUAGUUAUUCGUGGCUGGCCACAUGACCCUAUCUGCCCUCUCUGUCUGCAGGCACUAGAAACUGCAAACCACUUGUGCAAGGACUGUCCGUUCGCGGUGGCGGUUUGGUCGCAUGUACAACGAUGGACAGGGGAGCGCCAACGGCCCCGACGUCGCUGCCGCCUGCCAUGGGAAUCUCAGAUUGGUGGGACUCGCUCAUUGCCCCGCUCUCCAAGGAAGAUAGUUGACGCCGCAGCGGUCGCUUCCUCUACACCAUCUGGAAUAUAUGGAAGGAGCGUAACCGUCGCAUCUUCAACGGGACCCGCCUAA
rnacentral:rRNA from 1 species